GAUGAACGCUGGCGGCGUGCUUAACACAUGCAAGUCGAACGAUUAAAGCCCCUUCGGGGGUGUAUAGAGUGGCGAACGGGUGGGUAACACGUGGGCAACCUGCCCUGCGCUUCGGGAUAACUCAGGGAAACUUGAGCUAAUACCGGAUACUACGGACUGACCGCAUGAUCGGUCCGGGAAAGUUCCGGCGGCGCAGGAUGGGCCCGCGGCCCAUUAGCUAGUUGGUGAGGGAAUGGCUCACCAAGACGACGAUGGGUGGCCGGGCUGAGAGGCUAAUCGGCCACACGCGGACUCAUACCAGACCCAGACUCCAACGGGAGGCAGCAGUGGGGGAUUUGGCGCAAUGGGCGAAAGCCUGGCGCAGCAACGCCGCGUGCGGGAUGAAGUCCUUCUGGUUGUAAACCGCUUUCAGCAGGGAGGAAACUGACAGUACCUGCAGAAGAAGCCCCGGCUAACUACGUGCCAGCAGCCGCCGCCGUAA
rnacentral:rRNA from 1 species